UAAGCUGCUCAUCUACUUUGAGCUAUAUGGCAUCGUGGAGGGAUGGUGAGGAGAGCUUGGAUGACGGCGUGUCCAUUGUUGGUGCGGAGAUAGACCUCUUGGUAAGUCAAAUUUAUCUCCAAGGGUUUGGUCUUCUGAAAUUUGCCCGAUGUGUUUCUAUUCAACCCCUGAUUUUUGUACAAUUCUUGCAAGAAAUCCCUGACACUGUAGUGGAUCCAUCUUUAUGUAGCUCAGUGUUGGAAUCCGAGCCGAAGCGCAUCUUCCAUGGUGAGAGUUCGAAGAAGAUGGUUGCUUUUGAAGGGUUUUUAACUGGGAGGAGAAUUCUAGGCUUUGUUGUACAUGCUUGGGAAGAAUUUAUAAUCUUUAGCUCUAUUGUGCACGUUUC
rnacentral:lncRNA from 1 species